UACGGGGGGAGCAAGCGUUGUUCGGAUUUACUGGGCGUAAAGGGCGCGUAGGCGGCGUAACAAGUCACUUGUGAAAUCUCCGGGCUUAACUCGGAGCGGCCAAGUGAUACUGUUGUGCUAGAGUGCGGAAGGGGCUACUGGAAUUCUCGGUGUAGCGGUGAAAUGCGUAGAUAUCGAGAGGAACACCUGCGGCGAAGGCGGGUAGCUGGGCCGACACUGACGCUGAGGCGCGAAAGCCAGGGGAGCGAACGGG
rnacentral:rRNA from 1 species